CAAAAAUCAAAUAAUACAUUUUUUUCUAUCAUUUAUAUAUAUAUAUCUUAUAUAUAUAUAAGAUAUAACAGACAUAUCGCAUUCCGAAAUGUCUCAUUGCAAUUCGCAAUGUAAUGUCAAUAUGUUGCCAAGUGGCACUACAAACCAUUUCCAGUAAUAUGUUUAUUCAGAAAAAUAUGAUGUUUUUAAACAAGCUGUUUAAGAGCUUCCCAGUCGUGAUGCUGCCUUAGUAGGGAGCUGCCUAUGUAGACAGUUGACAGCAAGGCAGCUCAUGUUGAGUCACUGCUAUGGCAUUUUAAGUGUGUAUUGCGUUACUGCUUGACUCACUGUAAGAGUGAUUCAAACAGUUUCACAUCCUGUCUGUUACUCGGAGCACUUUAGAGGAAACAAGAAAAUUGCUCUGUGUUUGAAAAAUCGUAAAGAAAAAUCUUUCCGAAUGAGUGAGCUUGUUUUUUUAUCCUUUACGAGAAAAUGUUGUGUACACAUUUUGAAAUGUCAAACCCAUCAAUGAAGUUCGGAGAUGUGAACGCUUGCAUGCUGUCCACCCACCAGAAAUGAUUCAACUACACAUGCUGCAUUCAAAAGGGAAGGAAGCGGAAUUAUUAGAUGUUCGUUUUAGUUUUAAUACAGGUUCUCUCACUGGUGCUUGUUUGCAUGGUUGGUUUCAAAAACAUUGCUGAGAAUUGAGGGUGCUGGUUUGUGGAGGUCAGGAGCAGGUACCUCCUGCUGCUCUGCAUGCACCAUUUACUCCAGAGAGAACGAGAAAAGUAAAGACAGAGAACCUGAAACAGAUGGUCCAUCGCCCCAUGCAGUCUUAACCAACAACAAGCGCUGCUCCAGCACUUCAUCACCCCUGCAUUUUCUGCCCCCCGCAGGGGUAAAAGAGCCUCUCACACCCUCAGCUCCUCCACGGGGGCCCGCCAGGACUAUACGGAAGUGUGAAGCUCAAGUUAAAAGUUGUGGACAGAUAAGAGGUUUUAAAAGCCCAAACUGGGUUUUUAUGUCUCAGCGGGGCGUUGUAAAUCCUUCCUCAUUAGGUCUCCAUUCCUCCUUCUUCCCAUGGAUCUGUUUGCAUGUAAAGUUUUUAGUGGUGUUUGCUCAGUUAAGCAUCACUCUUACUAUUGCUCAUACUUAGGGUUGAGAUUUCAAGCUUUAAUCCAGAGAAUUAAACUAUGUUUGUGUAACUCAUCCAAUGCCAUUUGAGUUGCAGUGAUUAAAUAACCACCUAGCAACCAUUCAAAUGACCAUAGCAACGUGCAAACAACACAAUGGCAACCUCUUGGCAUCAUGGCAGUGAGUUUCAAAUCUUGUUGACCUUGUCUUCAUUAAAACCCAUAGUUACAUCCUGUUUUGACAUAUUUAACUGAAAAUCCAAAGUUCCACAACUAUUAUUAAUAAAAAAAAAAAAAAAAAAAACUUUCCCUUCA
ensembl:lncRNA